CUCAUGGGGUUUUCUGGGAAAAGAUACUGGAAUGGUUUGCCGUUUCCUUCUCCAGCUCAUUUUACAGAGGAAGAAACUGAUGUAAACAGGAUGAAGUGACUUGCUCAGGGUCACAUAGCUUACUCAUUUGACAGUUGAGGAAACUGAGGCAAACAGGGUUAAGCGACUUGUUCAGAGUCAUACUGCUGGACCAGUGGCAUCAAUAAGGGAUAUGUUUUGACUUGUGUGUGAAUUGGAUUGAAGUGAGGCAAAGUUGCACAAAGUCAACCUCAUUCUCUAUUCCAGCCAUCAAAGUCCAGUGGCAAGAUAAAAGACAAGAUUAUUGGCAAUGACUUGGGAUACAGUGGUGAAGUCUUUACAUGUUUGGCAUAUAGGAGGCACUUAAUAAAUGCUUGUUCCAUCUCCAAA